GUUCUACCUUGACGAAUUGUAGUUUAAAGAAGUGUUUUCUGUUAGAGGAGUAGCAAAAGUUCCUUGGAAUGGGACAUCAUAGAGGGUGAGAAUCCCGUAUUUGGUUACUUUUUCUAGCUUUGUGAUACACUUUCAAAGAGUCGGAUUGUUUGGGAAUGCAGUCCAAAAUGGGUGGUAAAUUUCAUCUAAAGCUAAAUAUUGGCGAGAGACCGAUAGCGAACAAGUACCGUGAGGGAAAGAUGAAAAGAACUUUGAAAAGAGAGUUAAACAGUACGUGAAAUUGUCAAAAGGGAAGCGUUUGACACCAGUGUUGUUUUUCCGAAAAUCAAUUAAGAACGGCUUGAUUUUGUGUUGUAUUGACCUUAUCAGCUUUCUUCACUCUUUUUCGAGUCUUUCUU
rnacentral:rRNA from 1 species